AGCCCUAUGGCCGAAGAGGUAAGGCAACGGAUUUUGGUUCCGUGAUGUGUAGGUUCGAGUCCUACUAGGGCCG
rnacentral:tRNA from 1 species